rnacentral:rRNA from 1 species
GACGAACGCUGGCGGCGUGCCUAAUACAUGCAAGUCGAACGCAGUGGGGACGGGUGAGUAACACGUUGGUAACCUCCCAUCAGAGGGGAUAACGCUUGGAAACAGGUGCUAAACCGAUACUGAUGGAUGGACCCGCGGUGCAUUAGCUAGUUGGUGAGGUAACGGCUCACCAAGGCCACGAUGCAUAGCCGACCUGAGAGGGUGAUAGGCCACACUUGGACUGAGACACGGCCCAGAUUUCGACGGGAGGCAGCUGUAGGGUAGCUUCGGCCAUGGACGACAGUCUGACCGAGCAACGCCGCUUGAGUGACGAAGGUUUUUGGAUCGUAAAACUCUGUUGUUAGAGAAGCGCUAUCUAACCAGCAAGCCACGGCUAACUACGUAACAGCAGCCGCGGUAAUAC